rnacentral:rRNA from 1 species
UCCGUAGGCGGGCAAUUAAGUCAGAGGUGAAAUCCCACAGCUCAACUGUGGAACUGCCUUUGAUACUGGUUGUCUUGAGUUACAGUGAAGUAGAUAGAAUAUGUAGUGUAGCGGUGAAAUGCAUAGAUAAUACAUAGAAUACCGAUUGCGAAGGCAGUCUACUAACUGUAUACUGACGCUAAUGGACGAAAGCGUGGGGAGCGAACAGGAUUAGAUACCCUGGUAGUCC